rnacentral:rRNA from 1 species
AUGGCCAGAUCUAUGAACCCCUUGCACACAACGAUCGUGCUCUCGGUGGUGCUUCUUCUCGUCUUCUUGGCUAAUCAUGGGCAAAGCAGAAACUUGGAUCCAGACAUGGGAAACGGUAGUAAGGUCAUUUUGCCAGGCGAUCUGUGCCGAGCUGGAUCCUGCGCAGAUAUGCCGGGGUGUUACUGCUGUAUGAGCGACGACAUCUGCCGCCCUUCACUCGUCGCGUGCUCGAAAACCUGUGGAAGGUCUUCUUCUACCCGUGUUCUUCGCCGCCCUCCCGUCUAG